rnacentral:misc_RNA from 1 species
GAAAUGCGAUAAGUAAUGUGAAUUGCAGAAUUCCGUGAAUCAUCGAAUCUUUGAACGCACAUUGCGCCCUCUGGUAUUCCGGGGGGCAUGCCUGUCCGAGCGUCAUUGCGACCCCCUCAAGCACGGCUUGUGUGAUGGGCCCUCCCGCGUCUUGGUCGUCAAGACGGGCCCGAAAAGCAGUGGCGGCUUCGCGGUUAUCCGAUCAGCCAGAGCGUAUGGGGACUUUCUCUCUGUCACACGCCCGCGGCGCGGACCGACGCCUGUCGACCUUUAUUCAUCUUUUUCUCGGUUGACCUCGGAUCAGGUAGGGAUACCCGCUGAACUUAAGC